rnacentral:lncRNA from 1 species
AUGGCCUUCACCUCAAAACCACAACCACAACCACCACCACCACCACCACCACCAUAUCCUCGUCUAACUCACCACCACUACAACCAAAUGCAACCUCAGAUCCACAACCACAACUACAACAACAACAAUUACGACAACCAUUACCUCCUCCACCUCACAUCCAACUCACCACCACCACCACCUCCCCAAUUAACACAUCGUCACAUCACUAUCUUCACCUUAAAAACACCGUACUACAAUAAACCGUCCUUGUGUUCUGUAGAUUGGCAAGAAUGUUUCAUUAGAGAAUGAAGACGCAACAACAAUAAAGUAAGCUACAAAGCUAUCGGAACUCAUUCCAACAACAUAGUAUUUCUAAAUCCCUAAUUUUUUGAAAUGAUUCGGUGGGGACCAAACCCUUGAAUAAGGAUCAAUGUAGGUUUAGAAUUGGUUGUGGAAGAAUAAGUGUAUAUGGGACCCCUAGAAGUGCAUGGAGGUGUCGCCGUCAAUGAUUAUUGUUGCAGAAGACAUGUCGGUGCUGGCAAGACAUCGAUAAAGGUAGCUAUCGUACUAGGAGACAAAGCUAAGAUAGGAAGCUACCAUUGUAGUUGUCUAUGUACAACAUAGAAGAAAGAGCGAUGGAGUGAGCGAGGAUUAUAGAGAAAUAGGGAUGAAAGCAGGCAGUGGUGGAUGGUAGUUGAGAGGCGUCGCGUGUGGAUAUGGGAAAUAGGAGGUAGAAACGAAUUAAAUCACAGGGUAGGAUAGUGUGAAGUGGGGUGGGCUAUAGUAGAUGCCUUAGUUUUGGAAAGAUAAACUUAAAUUUUUUGAAGUAUUCAGGCAAAUUCAUUGUAGAUGAGCGAAUAAGAAUUUUAUUCUGUGCACAUGAAUUUUUGUUUAUGAUUGAAUAUUUUACCCAGUAUUUUUUGGUUGAAUUUUUUAUGUAAUAUUCUGGACAUUGUUGCCUCAAUCUGCAAACCAAUUCUAUGGUAUAUUCACCCCUUACAUAAUAUGUUUUUGUGUAAAUGAAUCUAAGCACAACAUUUAUCCAAACAUUUCCGAACUCGUUUUGUCACAACACAUUUCGUUUAAAAUAUUGCAUAUUUUUGUAGUGUCAUUUAUGUUUCCAUGAAAUACUGAACUACAUCUUCUUUUAAAAAAUACAAAAAUAUGAUUUGGCUGAAAUCUAUUUUAGCAGUUUUUAAAAUUGGAUCAAGCCAAGCCUCAUCACAUUUGAGUAUAUCUGAAAUCUCAUUUGAACAUGUCUUCUUCAUCCGAGUAAAUCCACAAUGGCACGAACCUUUUCUGAUAUAAACCAUGUGUUUCAAUUACCGUAAUAUUGAAAAUUUGAAACUGAAGUUAAUGAUCAUUUUAUUGUUCUAUAGUUUUUAAUUGCAUAAGAACUAUGACAUCAUUUGCGCACCACAAGGUAUACAUUACAAUCUUCCUAAACUUAUUUGCAUGAUUAUUAUGUAUCAGCUUCAAAUGAAUCCCUUAUCAAGAUUCAGACGAGAACAAGAAGAGUGUUGUAUUUUGGGGGGAUGAUGACUUGCACAUGCAACGGUUCCAUAUAGAUAGUGUACCGUGUCAACAUGCAUUAGUUGUCAUUGAGGAUCGAGGUGAGCAACCAUACAAUUACUUUGUUCAUGUCACCAUACGGAGUGCUAUCUUGUAUUGUACGUUGGAUGCAUCAUUCCACUUGGUGAUCAUGUCCAAUGAAAAGUUGACAAUUAUUGAUGUCGUGAUGAAAUAUUGUUGCCUAAGUCCAAGAGGCAACCUAGUUGAUCGAAGAAGACAAGGAGACGAAUGAGGGUGGAGUGUUUACAAACAAGUAGAUGCGGAAGGUAUGGUGGGAGGGGACACAACAAGAGAACCUAUAAGCAACCUCUCUCAUUGUGUCAUCUAAUGAUGUAUAAACAAGUUUCAACAGUGUAGAUGAAAGUGAAAAACAUAUGAGAUCGCACUUUCAUCUCCUUCCAAAUUACGAAUUAGUGAAAUCAUUGGUUUGCGGUUGAUUUGGUAUUAUUGUGGAAUCAUAUUUAUUGGUAAAAUUUAAAUUUUCCAUUCAUAUCUUUAUUUUCAAUAGUAAAAGACCAACACUGCCUAUUUGUAUUAUAUGUGAUGUUGAUAUGUUUCAAAUGAUCGAUGUAGCAAG